GGCUCAUCCAUCACAAAAUUACCUGCUUGUUCCGUACAUCUCACUAAUAUCAUUCAUGCACCACAUAUUUUCAAAAAUUUGGUUUCUAUUUCCAAAUUUGCUCGGGGUAAUACAUGUUUCUUUGAGCUUCAUCCUUACUACUUUAUUGUUAAGGACUGUUGGAUACACCAGGAACUAAUGCGGGGCCCAGUUAGAGAUGGGCUCUAUUGCUUUCAGUCGAGAGACAGGUGUAUUGAAGAUCCUCAAGCACUAUUGUCUACCUCCUCUUCUAGUUGGUUAUGGCAUCAACGUCUUGGUCAUCCGUCAAAACCUAUAGUUGUCGUGCUUUAGGUUCUAAAUUGAAUAAUGAUCAUGUUCAUCGUAUUUGUUAUGCCUACCAGCAAGAGAAAAUAAUCAAUUGUUCCUUUGCUCUUGCAAAUAAUAAAAGCAAGUUCAUGUUAAACUCGUUCACACAGACAUUUGGGGUCCUACUCCUAUUACCUCUCAUACCGGUCAUGUCUAUUAUAUCCACUUUCUCGAUGACUACAACAAAUUUUCCUGGUUCUAUCUGAUGAAGAAUCGGUAUGAUGUUUUUCGAAUUUUUCAUGCCUUUCGUCUGCAAGUUGAAAACUCUUUGGAAAGAAAAUUAAAUAUUUUCAAACUAAUGGUGCCAAAGAAUUUCUCUUUGCAGACUUUCAGACCAAGUUACAAAAUAAUGGAAUUUUUCAUCGCAUCUCAUGUCCACAUGUUCCCUGACAAAUUGGGUCAGCAGAACGUAAGCAUUGACACAUUGUCGACAUGGGUCUUACUCUUCUUUUUCACUCGUCUCUUCCUAUGAAAUUUUGUGACUAUGCUUAGAGUCUUCUAUUUUUCUCAUUAAUCGACUGCCAACUAAGUCUCUUGAUUUCAAAUCUCCACAUGAGAUUCUUUAUGGUCGCCACACUGAUUACUAUUCACUCAGGGUUUUUGGGUGUCUCUGUUAUCUAUACAUGCGUUCAUACACUCGUCAUAAGUUAGAACCUCGCUCUUGCCUGUGUGUUUUUCUUGGUUAUCCAUCUAACUAUCAUAGAUACCAAUGUCUUGAUUUUACCUUCGAUCGAGUUUUCAUUUCUCCUCAGGUUAUGUUCGAUGAGACUUCAUUCCCAUAUCAAUCUAAUAUGCCCACCUCUGUGAGCUUUGAGACAUCACUACUGGGUUCAACACAACCUCCUAGUAUGUCCUUACUCUUUCCUCUACGACCAAUAAUACUCUUGAUUUUAUCCUUUUGAACCUCAGAUUCCCCUUUCGUCAUCCAUUACUGAUCAUCAUCCUAAGAUUACUAGUUCUGAAGUUGAUGUGAGAGCGUCAGCUCCUAGAAUCUCUAAUCAGUCUGCAGGUUUUGUAGUUCCUAUAGUGAAGCCUCCCACGACUACUAUUGAGGCACCCAAGAGGACUCAUUGCUUGGUCACAACUCGCGCGAUCCUGAGAUGGUUCUCUUUCUGCUCCUCAUUUUGUGAUUUCUCGUCACCCUACUACUUUCAUUGUUUCCGCAGUUCCCCAGAAGUCGAGGUCCUAUGCUCAAGCUCGGAAACACUCUCAAUUGUGAGCAGCUAUGCAUGAGGAGUAUCAGGUGUUGCUUCAGAAUCACACUUGGGAUCUUGUCCUUCCAUCAUCUUCCCAGAACAUCGUUGGUUACAAAUGGGUGUAUCAUGUCAAGCAGAAGUCUGACGGGGACUAUUGAUCGUUACAAGGCUCGAUCGGUAGCCAAGGGAUUCAAUCAAAGAGGAGUUGAUUACAAUGAGACUUUCAGUCCCGUUAUCAAGCCAGUGACCAUCCGUACGGUGCUCUCCAUUGCGGUCUCUCUACAAUGGUCCAUCAGACAACUUGAUGUGAAGAAUGCGCUUCUCCAUGGGCAUCUAUCUGAGGAGAUCUAUAUGGCUCAACCUCCUGGGUUUAUCGAUUCCUCUCAUCCUGAUCAUGUUUGCAAACUCCGUCGAUUUUUAUACUGACUCAAACAGGCACCGCGUGCAUGGUUUCAACAUCUUAGCAAUUUCCUAUGUCAACUCGGGUUUUCUGUCUCGAAGGCGGACUCUUCUCUAUUCGUUCUUCGGCGCACUUCUUACGUUAUCUUCAUCCUAGUCUAUCUCGACAACAUCAUAUUGAUUGGGAUGCCUGGUGCGUCGUUCACGUCUCUGUCAUUUGCCUUGCAUAAGGAAUUUGCUAUUAAGGAUCUUGGUCACUUUACUUUUUUCUGGGAAUGGAAGCUCGUGUUGACUCUAUCGGUCUUUAUCUCACCUAGUCGAAGUACAUUCAUGAUAUUCUUUCUUGCACCUCUCUACUGGAGUGCAAACCGGUAAAUACUCUAAUAACGCUUAUGCAGUUAAUCGAGUUUGCCAGUUCAUGCAUUGGCCAUCUACCACUCACUAUCUCGCGGUGAAAUGUAUUUUGCAGUAUCUCAAGGGCACCAUAAACUUAUGGCCUUCAUCUUCGUCUUGACCCUAUUUCAUUUCUACAUGGAUUUUCUGAUGUUGAUUGGGCGGAGAGUCUUGAUGAUCGAUGCUCUAUGAGUGGUUUUGUUAUCUUUCUCGGCACCAAUCCAAUUGCUUGGAGCUCCAAGAAACAACGCACUAUUACCAGGUCUAGCACCGAACCAGAAUACAAGACUCUAGCCAAUACCACAGCUGAUAUCAUUUUGCUGCAGUCACUACUUAGAGAACUGGGCUUUCUACUACAACAUCCUCCCACUCUCUAGUGUGACAAUGUUUAUGCUAUCUAUCUCACAAUGAAUCUAGUCUUCCAUGCCCGAACCAAGUAUAUCGAGAUUGAUUAUCUCUUGUUCGAGAGCGUUUUAUGCACAAACAAUUACUCAUUCGCUUUAUUGGCUCCGAUGAUCACAUAACAUAUGGUCUCACCAAAGGCUUAUCAUCCUUGCGGUUUUCACUUCUUCAAUCCAAGCUGUACGUGGAGCACUCCCUGUAUAACUUACGGGGGAGUAAUAGAGUAGUCAAAGAUUAUAGUUAAUCGUCAUUAUAUUUUACCUUGUACAGAUCAUGUAUUUUAGUCAUGUAUAGAUACUUUUCAUAAAUAGAAUAUUGUAUACGACUAUAUAAUCUAAUACAAAUCACCUCACAUAGUAAGUGAGCAAUUUAGCCAUC